UCAAGCACUCUGAUAAAGUAGCCUUCUUUGC
rnacentral:piRNA from 1 species